UUUCCCAGAUAUUUUAGGAGACC
rnacentral:piRNA from 1 species